CGGGGUACUCGAGCGGCGAACGGGUGAGUAACACGUGAGUAACCUGCCCCUGACUCUGGGAUAAGCCCGGGAAACUGGGUCUAAUACCGGAUACGACCACUUCAGGCAUCUGAUGGUGGUGGAAAGAUUUCUCGGUUGGGGAUGGGCUCGCGGCCUAUCAGCUUGUUGGUGGGGUAGUGGCCUACCAAGGCGACGACGGGUAGCCGGCCUGAGAGGGCGACCGGCCACACUGGGACUGAGACACGGCCCAGACUCCUACGGGAGGCAGCAGUGGGGAAUAUUGCGCAAUGGGCGGAAGCCUGACGCAGCGACGCCGCGUGGGGGAUGACGGCCUUCGGGUUGUAAACCUCUUUCAGCAGGGACGAAGUUGACGUGUACCUGCAGAAGAAGCGCCGGCUAACUACGUGCCAGCAGCCGCGGUAAUACGUAGGGCGCAAGCGUUGUCCGGAAUUAUUGGGCGUAAAGAGCUCGUAGGUGGCUGGUCGCGUCUGCCGUGAAAGCCCGCAGCUUAACUGCGGGUCUGCGGUGGAUACGGGCCGGCUAGAGGUAGGCAGGGGCAAGUGGAAUUCCUGGUGUAGCGGUGAAAUGCGCAGAUAUCAGGAGGAACACCGGUGGCGAAGGCGGCUUGCUGGGCCUUACCUGACGCUGAGGAGCGAAAGCGUGGGGAGCGAACAGGAUUAGAUACCCUGGUAGUCCACGCCGUAAACGUUGGGCGCUAGGUGUGGGACCCUUCCACGGGUUCCGUGCCGGAGCUAACGCAUUAAGCGCCCCGCCUGGGGAGUACGGCCGCAAGGCUAAAACUCAAAGGAAUUGACGGGGGCCCGCACAAGCGGCGGAGCAUGUUGCUUAAUUCGACGCAACGCGAAGAACCUUACCAAGGUUUGACAUCACCCGGAAACGUGCAGAGAUGUGCGCCUCUUCGGACUGGGUGACAGGUGGUGCAUGGCUGUCGUCAGCUCGUGUCGUGAGAU
rnacentral:rRNA from 1 species